GUGUGGGGGAAUAAGUUCUCUGUGCCGAAGCUAACGCAUUAAGUAUUCCGCCUGGGGAGUACGGUCGCAAGACUGAAACUCAAAGGAAUUGACGGGGGCCCGCACAAGCAGCGGAGCAUGUGGUUUAAUUCGAAGCAACGCGAAGAACCUUACCAAGGCUUGACAUCCUCUGACCGCUAUAGAGAUAUAGUUUCCCUUCGGGGCAGAGUGACAGGUGGUGCAUGGUUGUCGUCAGCUCGUGCCGUGAGGUGUUGGGUUAAGUCCCGCAACGAGCGCAACCCCUAUGUUUAGUUGCCAGCACGUAAAGGUGGGAACUCUAAACAGACCGCCGAGGACAACUCGGAGGAAGGUGGGGACGACGUCAAAUCAUCAUGCCCCUUAUGUCUUGGGCUACACACGUGCUACAAUGGCCGGUACAAAGAGCUGCGAACCCGCAAGGGGAAGCGAAUCUCAUAAAGCCGGCCCCAGUUCGGAUCGUGGGCUGCAACCCGCCCACGUGAAGUCGGAGUUGCUAGUAAUCGCGAAUCAGCAUGUCGCGGUGAAUGCGUUCCCGGGCCUUGUACACACCGCCCGUCACACCAUGGAAGUUGGGGGCGCCCGAAGCCUGUGUGCUAACUUUUUAAGAGGCAGCAGUCGAAGGUGACAUCCAUGACUGGGGUGAAGUCGUAACAAGGUAGCC
rnacentral:rRNA from 1 species